CUGGGGCGGUCUCCUCCUAAAGAGUAACGGAGGAGCACGAAGGUUGGCUAAUCCUGGUCGGACAUCAGGAGGUUAGUGCAAUGGCAUAAGUCAGCUUGACUGCGAGCGUGACGGCGCGAGCAGGUGCGAAAGCAGGUCAUAGUGAUCCGGUGGUUCUGAAUGGAAGGGCCAUCGCUCAACGGAUAAAAGGUACUCCGGGGAUAACAGGCUGAUACCGCCCAAGAGUUCAUAUCGACGGCGGUGUUUGGCACCUCGAUGUCGGCUCAUCACAUCCUGGGGCUGAAGUAGGUCCCAAGGGUAUGGCUGUUCGCCAUUUAAAGUGGUACGCGAGCUGGGUUUAGAACGUCGUGAGACAGUUCGGUCCCUAUCUGCCGUGGGCGCUGGAGAACUGAGGGGGGCUGCUCCUAGUACGAGAGGACCGGAGUGGACGCAUCACUGGUGUUCGGGUUGUCAUGCCAAUGGCACUGCCCGGUAGCUAAAUGCGGAAGAGAUAAGUGCUGAAAGCAUCUAAGCACGAAACUUGCCCCGAGAUGAGUUCUCCCUGAGACUUAAAGUCUCCUGAAGGAACGUUGAAGACGACGACGUUGAUAGGCCGGGUGUGUAAGCGCAGCGAUGCGUUGAGCUAACCGGUACUAAUGAACCGUGAGGCUUAACCUUACAACGCCGAAG
rnacentral:rRNA from 1 species